GAUGAACGCUGGCGGCGUGCCUAAUACAUGCAAGUCGAGCGAACAGACGAGGAGCUUGCUCCUCUGACGUUAGCGGCGGACGGGUGAGUAACACGUGGAUAACCUACCUAUAAGACUGGGAUAACUUCGGGAAACCGGAGAUAAUACCGGAUAAUAUAUUGAACCGCAUGGUUCAAUAGUGAAAGACGGUUUUGCUGUCACUUAUAGAUGGAUCCGCGCCGCAUUAUCUAGUUGGUAAGGUAACGGCUUACCAAGGCAACGAUGCGUAGCCGACCUGAGAGGGUGAUCGGCCACACUGGAACUGAGACACGGUCCAGACUCCUACGGGAGGCAGCAGUAGGGAAUCUUCCGCAAUGGGCGAAAGCCUGACGGAGCAACGCCGCGUGAGUGAUGAAGGUCUUCGGAUCGUAAAACUCUGUUAUUAGGGAAGAACAAAUGUGUAAGUAACUAUGCACGUCUUGACGGUACCUAAUCAGAAAGCCACGGCUAACUACGUG
rnacentral:rRNA from 1 species